rnacentral:rRNA from 1 species
GAUGAACGCUGGCGGCGUGCCUAAUACAUGCAAGUCGAGCGAACAGACGAGGAGCUUGCUCCUCUGACGUUAGCGGCGGACGGGUGAGUAACACGUGGAUCACCUACCUAUAAGACUGGGAUAACUUCGGGAAACCGGCGCUAAUACCGGAUAAUAUAUUGCACCGCAUGGUUCAAUAGUGAAAGACGGUUUUGCUGUCACUUAUAGAUGGAUCCCCGCCGCAUUAGCUAGUUGGUAAGGUAACGGCUUACCAAGGCAACGAUGCGUAGCCGACCUGAGAGGGUGAUCGGCCACACUGGAACUGAGACACGGUCCAGACUCCUACGGGAGGCAGCAGUAUGGAAUCUGCCGCAAUGGGCGAAAGCCUGACGGAGCAGCGCCGCGUGAGUGAUGAAGAUCUUCGGAUCGUAAAACUCUGUUAUGAGGGAAGAACAAAUGUGUAAGUAACUAUGCACGUCUUGACGGUACCUAAUCAGAAAGCCACGGCUAACUACGUG